rnacentral:lncRNA from 1 species
CUUUUUAGUGCAUCCAUAUAGCUUGUAUGCUAAGGCCCAAGUGCUGCACAAGUUUAUGUGGCUAUUAAAAUGUUUCUAAAUGAAUGAGAAGUAUUAAAAAAUCCCAAUACUGUGAACUAGAUUGGGAGCUUUGGAAGAAUUAGAAGCACUUUUGGCUUAAAGCGUAAGUCAACCUUCAGCUAGAGGCCUUUUUAAACAAAAGCUUGCUUUCUGUCCUUCACCUUUCAUCAUUUUAAGAGACUAACUGCAGAGCUCUGACAUAGUUGAAUUCAGAGUCCACCUUCAGAGCUGGGUCAGUACAGCUUCGGGUUUCUUCAGGUUUCCACUUUUUUAACCCUGCUGUUGAUAGUAUGAUUGUUGUUCCCACUGGUCUUUUUGAACCAGAUUUUUGGCUGGAGGCUAACUUUUUUUAUUAUGCAAAAACCAAAGCACCAGAAUUCCUGCCAGUAGUGGGGCUGGUAUAGUCCCCAUUCCAACUAAGUGUGAAUUGGACCAGCUGGAGAAAGACACCAACCCAACAGUCUGAUGGAUAAGAGAAAAAAUCCUGUUAUGGGUUCAGUGAGAUAGCACUAUUUUGUCUUUGUGCUGCAGUCUCAUACAACCCAUGUGGAAGCCUGAAGGAGGGAGCAUCCUCAGCCCCAGAGAACUGACAGUUCCAAUGGCCUCAUAGCAGAAGGCCUGAAAAAAUGGGGCUGAAUCCACAGUGUUUGGUACCACUGAUCCUGCUGGGACUGAACUCUUCAGUCUCUCUUCAGGUGCCUGAUAUUUCCCAGAUGCUCUCCAGCCCAGUGCCAUGCUCCCCUAAUAAGAAAAGUGUGGAUGAUUUAUAUCCAACGCAACUUUCUCACUUGUUUUCUUUCUCCUUUCUUGCAUGGUAAGAAUCCCCUGAGCUGGUCUCCAGGUGUUGCUGCCAUGGGAGUCCCAGAGGAUGAUGUACAGCACAUCCACCCUGAGCACUGGGCAGCUCUGCUGCAGGAAGUCAGAGAUUUUCUAGCAUGGAAUACAACAGGGCUUUUCUGCAGUUAUCAUGGAGAGAGCGUUUUCCUUGGAUGUGUGCAGCUCGUUUGUUACAAAGCGAGCCAUGCUCCAGGAAUUGAAGUUGUAACUCCUCCUCUGAAGUCUUGAUUCAACAGCAUUAAUGCCAUAAUACUGCAAGAAACAGCCAUUAUCCACCAAGCUCGAACUAGGUAAAAACCACGAAAGGAGUUUUGUCUGGAGUGGUCAAAUUUCAGUGCAAACACAGAGGGUCAACUUGUGACACUUGGCUCCUGUAUUCUGCUCGUAAGCAUCCCAGUGUAUUUGCUUUGCUCUCCCUCUCUUUUUCCUCCUCUG